CAUUGUACUUAUGUACUUGUUGAUAAGAAGUGAGCAGGCUGAGGAGGGGGCAAGAAGCUUCUUGCUUUUAUGGCUCGUGUGAUUUGUUAAAAUUUGAAAGUUCUUUUAUGGCAACUGGUACUGUUAAGUGGUUCAAUGAUUCCAAAGGUUUUGGCUUCAUCACUCCUGAUGACGGCGGCGAGGAUCUGUUCGCACACUUCUCCGCGAUCAACAUGAACGGUUUUAAGACCCUCAAAGAAGGUCAAAAAGUCCAAUUCGAAGUCACGCAAGGCCCGAAAGGCAAGCAAGCUUCCAACAUCCAGGGCAUGUAAUCAUUCCCCUCCCGGAAGCGAAGAACCCCGCCACGGCGGGGUUUUUUUU
rfam:Massilia sp. LC238 contig8, whole genome shotgun sequence.